rnacentral:rRNA from 1 species
GACGAACGCUGGCGGCGUGCCUAAUACAUGCAAGUCGAACGCAGUGGGGACGGGUGAGUAACACGUGGGUAACCUCCCAUCAGAGGGGAUAACACUUGGAAACAGGUGCUAAACCGAUACUGAUGGAUGGACCCGAGGUGCAUUAGCUAGUUGGUGAGGUAACGGCGCACCAAGGCCACGAUGCAGAGCGGACCGGAGAGUGUGACCGGCCAAACUGGGACGGAGAAACGGCCCAGACUCCUACGGGAGGCAGCAGUAGGGAAUCUUCGGCAAUGGACGGAAGGCUGACCGAGCAACGCCGCGGGAGUGAAGAAGGUUUUCGGAUCGUAAAGCUCUGUUGUAAGAGAAGCGGUAUCUUACCAGAAAGGGACGGCUAACUACGUGCCAGAAGCCGCGGUAAUAC